GAUUCGCUGCGGAACUCUAACGUGUUAGCCGUAAUCUGCAUUAGUCUUAAACGAAGCUGAUGAUUAGUGCAGAACGUAAUUUUUUUAAAAGCUUUAUUUCAACUUUAAACUGGACUACAUGUAAGAACUGCCAUUCAAGUAAUUUCUUUUGAGAUCGCUUUAUUUAUCAUAAGAUAACCUUUUCACUAGCUGGAAUUCUGCCACUGUUCAGUUAAUAUUCAGACAAGUUGAAACAUAGAAAUCUGAAGAACCUGGACAUUCAGCCAUAAAUGCCAUCAGUACCAGAGGAAUUAUUUACCUAAAUGUAAAAUUUUGUAGGGAGAACAAGUGGGAAUAAACCUUUUUUUUUUUUUGUUUUUAAUUUCCAAAAUUACCAAGAAUAAAUGGAAUUUGUUUUCAGAAUCUUUAGAUUAUAUGGUGUAUACUUUGCUUUGUAAUGUAUACCCAUAACGAGCAGUAUAUUUCAUAAAUAAACAUGUCCUGGAAAUUAGGUUAAAAUAUGCUGUGCUUUCAUUUAACUACAGAAAUUUUUUUUUUCUAAUUUUCAUGUUGAAGACAAAGAGCAAUAGAAAUUAUUUUUAAUAAAAAAAAAAGCACAACAGUUAGCUCUUAGAAUGGUUUUUAAUUUGCUAGUUGUUUUACCAUAAGACAAAUAGGGUAUAAGAAUAUUGCUUAAUUAUUCACAUACCAUUCAUCUUGAUUUUAAAACUUUUCACUGUACUUCAAAGCAAAGCCACUUUUGCUUUCCAGUACAGUGGAAUGAUUUCAAUUUUUCAUUCUGCAUUUCAGUGAAAAAUGUUAUCAGGGUGUAAUAGGUUUGAGAAUUUACAUUUCCUCUGAGGUAGUUUUAGAAUGGAUAUUUUCUGUGCAGUAAUGAAAAAAAAGCAGACUAGUGUUAGAUUAUAGGAAAUGUAUUUGAAGAUGUCGAACUACAUAUAUAAAGUUCUUCAUUCAAAUACCACUGGUAAAUAACUUUUAUCAGUAAUGAAAUCAUGUCGGGUGGACAGUUUUGGAAAACGCUCGAAACAUUCAACUCAGUAAAUACUAUCAGUUCAUGAUGCAUACAUUUACAUUUGUAUAUACUUAGAUUAUACCCAUUCCCUUCAGAAUUUUAAUGCCAACUCUUAGCUCAUCAAUGGACAUGAUAAAUUUUGAAUAUCAGUUUUCGACGAAGAGAAAGAUGUACAAGUUGGUCAUUUCAGAGUUUGAUAUUGAGGAAAGAACUCAGUAUUUACAGAGGAGAAAAAAAAAAGAGAGAGACAUCAAAUAUGAAAAUGGGGAAACUUCAUUGUUUAUGAAAUUUCCUUAGUUUGAACAAGGCAAGAUCAUAAAUAUUAUUUUGGAACAAAUAUAUGAACUGUAAUUCUUUUGAGAUUUUUGAAAGAAACAGAGGUCUAACAGAAUUGCAUUAUUGAUUACCAAGG
rnacentral:misc_RNA from 1 species